GUCGAUGUGUCUGAGUGGUAAAGCGCUUGGCUCCGAACCAGAGGGUCCCGGGUUCGAAUCCUGGUGAAGUCU
rnacentral:tRNA from 1 species